rnacentral:rRNA from 1 species
UACGUAGGGGGCUAGCGUUGUCCGGAAUCAUUGGGCGUAAAGCGCGCGUAGGCGGCCCGGUAAGUCCGCUGUAAAAGUCAAAGGCUCAACCUUUGAAUGUCAGUGGAUACUGCCGGGCUAGAGUCCGGAAGAGGCGAGUGGGACUCCUGGUGUAGCGGUGGAAUGCGCAGAUAUCAGGAAGAACACCGACGGCGAAGGCAGCUCGCUGGGACGGUACUGACGCUGAGGCGCGAAAGCGUGGGGAGCGAACAGG